CGCACAUGCUCUGCAGGGGUAGUUCCUCUCAUCCUCUCACCAAGAAAACUCAGCACCAGAAAGAGAAGAGGUUUGUGGAAAAGACAACAAGUUUACUCUGGGAUGUGUUAAUGCAAUGGGCUGCAUGUGUUCACCCCUCCCCAAAUCCAUGUGUUGAAAUCCGAAUCCCCAACAUGAUGGUGAGGAGGUGGAGGCUCUGGGAAGUGAUUAGGUCAUGAUGGUGAGGAGGUGGAGGAUCUGGAAGUGAUCAGGUCCUGAUGGUGAGGAGGUGGAGGAUCUGGAAGUGAUUAGGUGGUGAUGGUGAGGAGGUGGAGGAUCUGGAAGUGAUUAGGUCGUGAUGGUGAGGAGGUGGAGGAUCUGGGAAGUGAUUAGGUCGUGAUGGUGAGGAGGUGGAGGAUCUGGAAGUGAUUAGGUCGUGAUGGCGAGGAGGUGGAGGAUCUGGGAAGUGAUUAGGUCGUGAUGGUGAGGAGGUGGAGGAUCUGGGAAGUGAUUAGGUCGUGAUGGUGAGGAGGUGGAGGCUCUGGGAAGUGAUUAGGUAGUGAUGGUGAGGAGAUGGAGGAUCUGGAAGUGAUUAGCUCAUGAUGGUGAGGAAGUAGAGGAUCUGGAAGUGAUUAGGUCGUGAUGGUGAGGAGGUGGAGGAUCUGGAAGUGAUUAGGUCGUGAUGGUGAGGAGGUGGAGGCUCUGGGAAGUGAUUAGGUCGUGACGGUGAGGAGGUGGAGGAUCUGGAAGUGAUUAGGUCGUGAUGGUGAGGAGGUGGAGGCUCUGGGAAGUGAUUAGGUCGUGAUGGUGAGGAGGUGGAGGAUCUGGAAGUGAUUAGGUCAUGAUGGUGAGGAGGUGGAGGCUCUGGACGUGAUUAGGUCGUGAUGGUGAGGAGGUGGAGGAUCUGGAAGUGAUUAGGUCGUGAUGGUGAGGAGGUGGAGGAUCUGGAAUUGAUUAGGUCGUUUUGGUGACAAGGUGGAGGAUCUGGAAGUGAUUAGGUCGUGAUGGUGAGGAGGUGGAGGAUCUGGAAGUGAUUAGGUCGUGACGGUGAGGAGGUGGAGGAUCUGGAAGUGAUUAGGUCGUCAGGGUGCAGCCCUCCUGAAUGGGAUUAGUGCCCUUAAACCAGAGGCCCCAGAGGCAUCCCUGGCUCCUUCCACUAUGAACCAGAAAGUGGGACCUCACCA
rnacentral:lncRNA from 1 species